CCUAUGAGCCGUGCACAGUGCUGUGCCCCGGAAGUAUAAAACACUGGCCUCCCGGAGCUAAGCUAAACUGUUCACUCACUGCGAUGACGAGCACACCCACUGACGUGAGCGGCUUGCUCUGUGACUGUGUUAUUAUGGGCCUGGAGGAGAACCCCGACAAGGAAAAGCAGCAGAGUCCAAAUCCCCCAGAGACCCCUUGAAUGCAUUUACUCUACACACUGUGGCACUGGAAACCUCUUGAGUACCAUUCAGGAGUUCAGGCAUGCUCCUCUGACUGUGUUCCUUCUGAAAUAAAGUUGGCAAGAGGCUGGGAACAUCGUGGUACCCAUAGCCAGUGUCAUUUCUUCAAACAGAGUGACCCUGUUGAUGAAGAAGUGAAGUAUAGAAUUCCAUCUCUUCAAAGUGGGAUCAAAUGUGGUUAAAAGAUAUUUCGAUAAGAGCUCUAGGUGGAUGACUUUGGAAGCAAGAAGGCAGCACACAACACUGACGGCAAUCCUAAAAGCCAGAGACGUUCAUUGCAGGAUGUGUGGGAAAGCCAAGGAAAAGGAGGGGCUCCAAAGAAGAGCAAUCCCUUGCAGGUAGGGAGAUACAAAGUUAAUGGGAAAGAGGACAGUAUGGAAAAGCAAGGAGGUCCCACGAGUGACCUAUUUUCCCAAAUUUCCCUGUAUUGUGUCUCCAGAUAUCAAAUGAUGUCAAGAAUGUACGGUGUCCAUAAAGAAAAGAUAAUAUCCACAGAUUCUAAGUGGUGAGCGAUUGUGAGUUAAUUAAGUGAGAUAGAGGCCGAAAGAUUAUAUACACUACAAUCAACUUCAACAGGAACAAUUAUUUAUCCUAAACUUCACACUACUAAAAAAAAAAAAAUCUUAUGUCAGGGCACAUUGCUACAUAACUAAAAUACUCAAUCGAGGACUCGUAUCAUAUCUGAAAAGUGGAAUCACACAUCAUGAGAGAGCAAACAAAUUUGUGAGAUCUUGG